rfam:Aedes albopictus isolate Foshan contig76085, whole genome shotgun sequence.
UAGCCUAGUGGUUAAGGCUAUGGAUUGCCAAUCCAGAGAUGGCGGGUUCGAUUCCCGU